rnacentral:rRNA from 1 species
UGUGACAGCGUGCCUUUUGAAGAAUGAGCCUGCGAGUUAGUGAUAUGUGGCGAGGUUAACCCGUGAGGGGCAGCCGUAGCGAAAGCGAGUCUUAAUAGGGCGUAUGAGUCGCAUGUUCUAGACCCGAAGCGAAGUGAUCUAUCCAUGGCCAGGUUGAAGCGACGGUAAGACGUCGUGGAGGACCGAACCCACUUCAGUUGAAAAUGGAGGGGAUGAGCUGUGGAUAGGGGUGAAAGGCCAAUCAAACUUCGUGAUAGCUGGUUCUCUCCGAAAUGCAUUUAGGUGCAGCGUUGCGUGUUUCUUGCCGGAGGUAGAGCUACUGGAUGGACGAUGGGCCCCAAAAGGUUACUGACUUCAGCCAAACUCCGAAUGCCGGUAAGUGAGAGCGCAGCAGUGAGACGGUGGGGGAUAAGCUUCAUCGUCGAGAGGGAAACAACCCAGACCACCAUCUAAGGUCCCUAAGCGCGUGCUAAGUGGGAAAGGAUGUGGAGUUGCAUAGACAACCAGGAGGUUGGCUUAGAAGCAGCCACCCUUGAAAGAGUGCGUAAUAGCUCACUGGUCAAGUGAUUCCGCGCCGACAAUGUAACGGGGCUCAAGCACGCCACCGAAGUUGUGGCAUUUAUAUUAUAGGCAGGCCUUCGUGGUCCAGCCGUAUGGAUGGGUAGGAGAGCGUCGUGUGGCCAGCGAAGCGGCGGUGUGAACCAGCCGUGGAGGCCACACGAGUGAGAAUGCAGGCAUGAGUAGCGAAAGACGGGUGAGAAACCCGUCCUCCGAAAGACCAAGGGUUCCAGGGCCAGGCUAAUCCGCCCUGGGUAAGUCGGGACCUAAGGCGAGGCCGACAGGCGUAGUCGAUGGACAACGGGUUGAUAUUCCCGUACCGAUGAAGAACCGCCCAAGACAAUCCAGUAAUGCUAAGUGUCUGAAUCCUUGAUCCGAUCCCUUCGGGGUGACGGUCUUGGCCUAGCACACGACCCUACGCUGGGGCGUUUAGCGUAUUAACAGGUGUGACGCAGGAAGGUAGCUGAGCCGGGCGAUGGUUGUCCCGGUCUAAGGAUGUAGGGCAGAAGAUAGGCAAAUCCGUCUUCUAUGUAGCCUGAGACCCGAUGGGUAGUCCUCACGGACGAAAUCAGUGAUCCUAUGCUGCCGAGAAAAGCAUCGACGCGAGGUUCCAAUCGCCCGUACCCCAAACCGACUCAGGUGGUCAGGUAGAGAAUACUAAGGAGAUCGAGAGAAUCGUGGUUAAGGAACUCGGCAAAAUGCCCCCGUAACUUCGGGAGAAGGGGGGCCUGAGGCGUGUAGGGAUUUACUCCUGAAGCGUUUGAAGGCCGCAGAGACCAGUGGGAAGCGACUGUUUACUAAAAACACAGGUCCGUGCUAAGUCGCAAGACGAUGUAUACGGACUGACGCCUGCCCGGUGCUGGAAGGUUAAGAGGAACGGUUAGCACGCAAGUGCGAAGCUGAGAAUUUAAGCCCCAGUAAACGGCGGUGGUAACUAUAACCAUCCUAAGGUAGCGAAAUUCCUUGUCGGGUAAGUUCCGACCUGCACGAAUGGCGUAACGACUUCCCAGCUGUCUCAACCGCGAACUCGGCGAAAUUGCACUACGAGUAAAGAUGCUCGUUACGCGCAGCAGGACGGAAAGACCCCGUGACCUUUACUACAGCUUGGUAUUGGUGUUCGGUGUGGCUUGUGUAGGAUAGGUGGGAGACUGUGAAGCUCGGACGCUAGUUCGGGUGGAGUCAUUGUUGAAAUACCACUCUGGUCACUCUGGAUAUCUAACUUCGAACCGUAAUCCGGUUCAGGGACAGUGCCUGGUGGGUAGUUUAACUGGGGCGGUUGCCUCCUAAAGAGUAACGGAGGCGCCCAAAGGUUCCCUCAACCUGGUUGGUAAUCAGGUGUCGAGUGUAAGUGCACAAGGGAGCUUGACUGUGAGACUGACAAGUCGAGCAGGGACGAAAGUCGGGACUAGUGAUCCGGCAGUGGCUUGUGGAAGCGCUGUCGCUCAACGGAUAAAAGGUACCUCGGGGAUAACAGGCUGAUCUUGCCCAAGAGUCCAUAUCGACGGCAUGGUUUGGCACCUCGAUGUCGGCUCGUCGCAUCCUGGGGCUGGAGUAGGUCCCAAGGGUUGGGCUGUUCGCCCAUUAAAGCGGUACGCGAGCUGGGUUUAGAACGUCGUGAGACAGUUCGGUCCCUAUCCGCUGCGCGCGUAGGAAAUUUGAGAAGAUCUAUCCCUAGUACGAGAGGACCGGGAUGGACGAACCUCUGGUGUGUCAGUUGUUCCGCCAGGAGCACCGCUGAUUAGCUACGUUCGGAACGGAUAACCGCUGAAAGCAUCUAAGCGGGAAGCCGGCUUCGAGAUGAGAUUUCCAUCCCUUUUAGGGUGAAGGCUCCCGGCUAGACUACCGGGUUGAUAGGCAGGAUGUGGAAGCGAGGACUAAAGACUCGUGGAGCUGACCUGUACUAAUAAGCCGAUAUCUUGAAAAC